UAACACAUGCAAGUCAGGGGCAGCACAAGGAGCAAUCUGAGGUGGCGACCGGCGCACGGGUGAGUAACACGUAUGCAACCUGCCUGUAAGCGGGGAAUAACCCGUUGAAAGACGGACUAAUACCGCAUAAUACUAAAUUACUGCAUGGUAAUUUAUUUAAACAUUUAUGGCUUACAGAUGGGCAUGCGCAUGAUUAGCUAGUUGGAGAGGUAACGGCUCCCCAAGGCAACGAUCAUUAGGGGUUCUGAGAGGAAGGUCCCCCACACUGGUACUGAGACACGGACCAGACUCCUACGGGAGGCAGCAGUGAGGAAUAUUGGUCAAUGGACGAGAGUCUGAACCAGCCAAGUCGCGUGCAGGAAGAAUGUCCUAUUGGAUUGUAAACUGCUUUUGCAGGGGAAUAAAGUGCAUCACGUGUGAUGUUUUGUAUGUACUCUGCGAAUAAGGAUCGGCUAACUCCGUGCCAGCAGCUGC
rnacentral:rRNA from 1 species